GGGUUGUGAGGUUAAGCGACUAAGCGUACACGGUGGAUGCCCUGGCAGUCAGAGGCGAUGAAGGACGUGCUAAUCUGCGAAAAGCGUCGGUAAGGUGAUAUGAACCGUUAUAACCGGCGAUGUCCGAAUGGGGAAACCCAGUGCAAUUCGUUGCACUAUCGUUAACUGAAUACAUAGGUUAACGAGGCGAACCGGGGGAACUGAAACAUCUAAGUACCCCGAGGAAAAGAAAUCAACCGAGAUUCCCCCAGUAGCGGCGAGCGAACGGGGAGCAGCCCAGAGUCUGAAUCAGCUUGUGUGUUAGUGGAACGGUCUGGAAAGUCCGACGGUACAGGGUGAUAGUCCCGUACACCAAAAUGCACAGGCUGUGAACUCGAAGAGUAGGGCGGGACACGUGGUAUCCUGUCU
rnacentral:rRNA from 1 species